ACCUCCUCCACCACCGCCACCUCCACAGCACUCUGAAGAACGACUUGGCACCAUCAGAGUGUACCAAAACCAUCAUCACCAGCAUCCUCCCAGUCCACCAGAACCCAGGAGUGAGUGGGAGGCAGGCAGAUAUCUCCCCAGAGGAGGGAUUUACUCGUCUAACACUAGUGAAAUGUCCUACCCCUCCAGUCCAAAGGUCAGAGAUCCUCAUGUGUGAAACAUGCGAGUUGCUAUUGAAGAUGUAGAUUGCUACAUCUUCAAUAGCAACAUUAGUUUUUCUUCAAUGCGUAGGUUUAGGUGCAUGUCGUCUCUUAUGUGUUCGGAUGUUUUAAUGCAUGAAGAGAGAGCAGCAUGUUCUAUCUACAGUGAGCUGCUUGUGUUUCUUUGUAGUGUGUGGUUUCUUCUUUCUUCUUAUGUUUGUGCGUGUGCAGUUGGGCCUCUGGGGUUGGCAGUAGAUGCUUUUGAACUCUCAGCCAUGGUGUGAUAUCUGAGAGAACGGGUGUGGGUCUUGGAGUGUCUUGCGCUGAUAUUUUCCUGAGUGGUCUGUUUGUGCCAGAGGGCUGAAAGUUUCAUUAUAUUCCACUUUGGCUCAGGUAAUGAGAAAUACAUCCCAUGCCAGUCGUGUUUCAACUUCAAGCAGCCCGCUGCAACUAGCUCCCAGUCCCCCCAAUCAGAGGCGUCAGAUGGCCCCGGUCAUGUCUAAGCCUGUCAUGCUGCCUCAGUCACAGACCCACCGCCCAGAUCCACACAGACCUGCUCUACGAUCUGAUGGCCUGGUAAUAAACACAUUACACUGCAGUGAAUUUUCGAAUAUUCUCAAGAUAAAAACCAUUGGUAGCUUAAAAGGGUCAUCAAACAUUCAGACUUUUGACACAGCAUGCCAUCAGCCAGCUGAAGAAUUACUCUUUGCCUCAUCUCAGACUCCUGAUGAGUUUCCCUGAUUCUCCAGCUGUUUCCCAGUCUGUAGUUUUCAUAUUAUAAAGGUGACCAGUUAAUCUUCUUGUAAUAAACUUGGAUCAAACUGGGCAGCUUAUGAAUGUUAAAAUCUGCAUUUUAAAAUUCAACAGAACAGCUUUGUUUUCCAGUAACUGUCACAGAGUCACAACAACACACUUCAGCACUGAUAUGCUGAAAUGAGCCAUUAAGUGAUUAUUAUUCAUAAUAAACAGGCAUUUUUGGGCACAACAAAACAUUUGAUGGCAUUAAUAGAAUUAAUAUUUUUUAUGUUUUAUUGUAAUCAAUAAAACCAUCAGUUUCUUAGUAGCAAUUGUUAGUUGCUGGCAUAGUGUAAUGUCAAUGUAAACAGCCUGUGUAAACUGUGUUACAGGUAAACGUAGCUAAAUGUGGUCAGAAGUCACCCGGACUUUGAACCAGAGGGGGCAGUAACACACUGCUGCUCAACCUGGUCUAAAGUUUCAUCUUUAAAGUGUUCAGACUGGACUGAAAGUCUUUACCUCCUUUUGUGUUUCAGCCUCCUGAAAUGUUGAAACGGAUGGUGCCUUUCAACUCGUCUUUUAAAACAAACAACAAGCGACAAGUAAUCCAUAUGUCACCUUCUCCAUUAAUACUCUGCAGUGCUUUUCUUCUGUUCUUUUUUUUCUUUUUUUUUAAUCUCCAUGCUUACCCCUCAGGUUUGGCUAUUGAGUGAAACCUCAGUGAUGGCUUCUUCAUUUUCCCCCAUGUGCAUCACUGUCUUCUGAUGUAGCUGAGCUUCUAUUGAUUUGGAGUAGAUGAUGAUAUUGUCUACUCCAUAAAGGAAUGCAUGUCAAAGGUUUGGUUUUACAGCAGUGAUGGCAAGUGAUGCUUUGAACUCUCUCAUAGAGGCUCACUGAAGACUCCAAGUGGUUGAAAUAUCUGUCUACGUGUUUCUUGUACAGUCUACAUAACCAGAAGAAAGGAACACGGUUGCUUUACGCUUUCAUGUGGCUUUAGUUUAAUAUUUAAACACUACACCUGUUUGCAUUGCUUGAUGGCUCCUCUCUCCAGCCACAGCAAAUAAAAACGUACAUUACCAAUGAGUUCGUCUUCCAUGUCCAACUUUGAGCCACUGUGUAACAACAGGAAAUGAGCCUUUCUGACUCAUAACUGCGUAAAUGUGAUGUCCGUUUGCUCUCGUUUCCUUCCUAUGAAAUUAAACAGCCGUUUAGAAUGAUUUGUGAGUUUUUUCUGCCUGUGCGUGUUAGUGUGAAUUAUUGUCUUGAUAACGGAAUUAAGGGGUGAGGCUUUCAAAGCAACUGUGUAACGCCUUAAAAGCCGAAGUGCUUUU